GGAGGGCGAGAGAGUUGCUCAGUCCUCCGCCGGACUGAAAGGCAAAACUCCAAACAAUAAGCUCAUCUGAAAGAGAGAAAAAAAAGUGCUGGAAGUACUCAGCUGAUCGGGCAGCAGCUGCGGGGGAGAGUGAGAAUGGCAAAUCAAUGGUUCAAGCCGUCUGCUAAAAUGCAUUCACAGCCGUGAAAACAAUGAUUGAUAAUUGCAAAACGGAAAGUGUGACCGGAUUUGUUUGGAGCUAACCUGGGGAAGCGAUCCACUGGAAAUCUCACUGCCCGGAGUGGAUAUUUCACAACAAUUAAAGUGAUGCUUGCAGUGAGGAACGAAACCAAGGAUUUCACCACUGAUAUAUCAGUAUUACAGUGGAGUGAAGGGAAUUACAGGAGCAUGAGAGAGGAGCUGGCCGAAAUUGAUUGGAAGGGAACACUAGCAGUGAUGAUGGCGGAGCAGGAAUGGCUGGAGUUUCUGGAAGCAAUUCAGAUGUUGCAGGAUUGAUUCAUCCCAAAGAAGAAGAAGCAUUCGAAAGGGAGGAUGCUGCACCUAUGGCUGACAAGAGAACUCAAAGCCAACAUAAAAGCCAAAGAGAGAGCAUGUAAUAGAGUAAAAAUUAGUGGGAAGCUUUUACAAACCAACAGAAGGCAACUAAAAAAGUCAUAAAGAAGGAAAGAUGGAAUAUGAAGGGAAAUAAAGAAAUACAAAUGAUUUAAUGAAAAGUUAUAAAGGACAACGACUGACAAACUGCCAAUAUGCAAAAAAAAAAGACAAAUUCUGAAGGAAGAAUGUGAAAGCCCCAGAGAGGAUACAGAAAACAUUUACUACAACUAAUCUGUGGUUGCGGGAUUUCAACAAGAUGGUUAAAGAAGAGAAGUUCAAAGUUGAAACUAUGUAACACACACAAAACGCUGGAGGAAUUCAGCAGCUCAGGCAACAUCUAUGGAAAUGACAGUCGAUGUUUCGGGCCGAGAGCCUUCUUCAGGAUCCACUUUCAGUUUGGACCCACC